rnacentral:rRNA from 1 species
UGGGGAAUAUUGGACAAUGGGCGAAAGCCUGAUCCAGCCAUGCCGCGUGUGUGAAGAAGGCCUUUUGGUUGUAAAGCACUUUAAGCGAGGAGGAUGCUACCGAGAUUAAUACUCUUGGAUAGUGGACGUUACUCGCAGAAUAAGCACCGGCUAACUCUGUGCCAGCAGCCGCGGUAAUACAGAGGGUGCGAGCGUUAAUCGGAUUUACUGGGCGUAAAGCGUGCGUAGGCGGCUUUUUAAGUCGGAUGUGAAAUCCCUGAGCUUAACUUAGGAAUUGCAUUCGAUACUGGGAAGCUAGAGUAUGGGAGAGGAUGGUAGAAUUCCAGGUGUAGCGGUGAAAUGCGUAGAGAUCUGGAGGAAUACCGAUGGCGAAGGCAGCCAUCUGGCCUAAUACUGACGCUGAGGUACGAAAGCAUGGGGAGCAAACAGG